UACGUAGGGGGCUAGCGUUGUCCGGAAUCAUUGGGCGUAAAGAGCGUGUAGGCGGUCCGGUAAGUCCGCUGUGAAAGUCGGGGGGCUCAACCCUCGAAUGCCGGUGGAUACUGUCGGGCUAGAGUGCGGAAGAGGCGAGUGGAAUUCCUGGUGUAGCGGUGAAAUGCGCAGAUAUCAGGAGGAACACCUAUUGCGAAGGCAGCUCGCUGGGACGUAACUGACGCUGAGACGCGAAAGCGUGGGGAGCAAACAGGAUUAG
rnacentral:rRNA from 1 species